CCGAGCGGCAUCCCCAUUCCAUAUAGAAAAGCCCCAUUGGCGGCCCCGACGGUGCCCAGAGAGAAGGAUUGGAGAGGCAGCCUUUCUUCCAUUCCUCCAUGGAAAAAUUUUAGGUCAAGAGUCAAUGGAAAAGCUCCUAAUAACUUCCCGCAGAAGACUUGAAUAUGUCUCCUGGAUAAAAUUGGGUCAUGAAGAAUGCUUUUCUUCCAAUGUAGACUUGGACUUGCUAAUUUAUCCAUUCUGUUGGCGCAUGUGGAAAGAUAGAAGAUUUUAUUC
rnacentral:lncRNA from 1 species